rnacentral:rRNA from 1 species
AAACCAACAGGGAUUGCCUUAGUAACGGCGAGUGAAGCGGCAAAAGCUCAAAUUUGAAAUCAACUAACAAGUUGAGUUGUAAUUUGUAGAUUGUUUUUUGAGUCAUUUGAUUAAAGUUAGUUGGAAUACUACGCCAUUGAGGGUGACAGCCCCGUUUAUCAUUUUCUCAUUUUAAAAAACUUUCAAAGAGUCGAGUUGUUUGGGAAUGCAGCUCUAAGUGGGAGGUAAAUUCCUUCUAAAGCUAAAUAUUGGCGAGAGACCGAUAGCGAACAAGUACUGUGAAGGAAAGAUGAAAAGAACUUUGAAAAGAGAGUGAAAAAGUACGUGAAAUUGUUAAAAGGGAAGGGUAUUUCGUUAGUCGUGGGUUUGUUGUUCAAUUGAUUUUCGGAUUAAUCCACUCAACAAGCCUAGGUCAAGAUGGGAAUUUGAAGGUUGAAAAAAGUUUAGAAAUGUGGCUCUCUCGAGUGUUAUAAUCUAUCCCAAUAAACCUCCCAAAUUCUCAGGUCUGCGUUCUCUCGGAUCUUGACUUAAUAACUAAAUACCAC